AGAGUUUGAUCCUGGCUCAGGAUGAACGCUGGCGGCGUGCCUAAUACAUGCAAGUCGAGCGGCAGCGCGGUCUUCGGACUGGCGGCGAGCGGCGGACGGGUGAGUAACGCGUAAGAAUGUACCCCAGAGUGAGGGAUAAGCCAUCGAAAGAUGGUCUAAUACCGCAUAACAUCUAUGGAUAAAAGCAGUAAUGCGCUUUGGGAACAGCUUGCGUCUGAUUAGCUAGUUGGUAAGGUAAUGGCUUACCAAGGCGACGAUCAGUAGCUGGUCUGAGAGGAUGAUCAGCCACACUGGAACUGAGACACGGUCCAGACUCCUACGGGAGGCAGCAGUAGGGAAUUUUCCACAAUGGGGGCAACCCUGAUGGAGCAACGCCGCGUGCAGGAUGAAGGCUUUCGGGUCGUAAACUGCUUUUAUGUGAGAAGAAUAUGACGGUAACACAUGAAUAAGGAUCGGCUAACUCCGUGCCAGCAGCCGCGGUCAUACGGAGGAUCCAAGCGUUAUCCGGAAUUACUGGGCGUAAAGAGUUGCGUAGGUGGUUUAUUAAGCGACGUGUGAAAUCUUGUGGCUCAACCAUGAGGCUAUGCGUUGAACUGAUAAACUUGAGUAUGAGAGAGGUUAUUGGAAUUCCCAGUGUAGGAGUGAAAUCCGUAGAUAUUGGGAGGAACACCGAUGGCGUAGGCAGAUAACUGGCUCAUUACUGACACUAAGGCACGAAAGCGUGGGGAGUAAACGGGAUUAGAUACCCCGGUAGUCCACGCCGUAAACUAUGGAUGCUAGCUGUGUCGCGUAUCGACCCGCGACGUAGCGAAGCUAACGCGUUAAGCAUCCCGCCUGGGGAGUACGGUCGCAAGAUUAAAACUCAAAGGAAUUGACGGGGACCCGCACAAGCGGUGGAGCGUGUUGUUUAAUUCGAUGCUAAACGAAGAACCUUACCAGGGUUUGACAUCCCAAGAAGGCCUCCGAAAGGAAACUGUGCCGCAAGGAAUUUGGUGACAGGUGUUGCAUGGCCGUCGUCAGCUCGUGUCGUGAGAUGUUGGGUUAAGUCCCGCAACGAGCGCAACCCUUAUGUUCAGUUGGAUUUUUCUGAACAGACUGCCUCGGUAACGGGGAGGAAGGAGGGGAUGAUGUCAGGUCAGUAUUACCCUUACACCCUGGGCUACAAACACGCUACAAUGGCCGGUACAAAGGGCAGCCAACCCGCAAGGGGGAGCAAAUCCCAUCAAAGCCGGUCCCAGUUCAGAUUGCAGGCUGAAACUCGCCUGCAUGAAGAUGGAAUCGCUAGUAACGGUGAGUCAGCUAUAUUACCGUGAAUACGUUCCCGGGUCUUGUACACACCGCCCGUCAAGCCAUGAGAGUCUGGGGCACCCAAAGUAUGAGUUUUAUCUCGUCCUAAGGUGAAUUAGAUGAUUGGGGUUAAGUCGUAACAAGGUAACCGUA
rnacentral:rRNA from 1 species